AUUGAACGCUGGCGGCAUGCUUUACACAUGCAAGUCGAACGGCAGCGGGGAGGUGCUUGCUUCUCUGCCGGCGAGUGGCGAACGGGUGAGUAAUACAUCGGAACGUGUCGAGAAGAGGGGGAUAACCACCCGAAAGGGCGGCUAAUACCGCAUAGAUUCUGAGGAAGAAAGCGGGGGACCUAGGAAUAGGCCUAGCGCUUUGUGUGCGGCCGAUGUCGGAUUAGGUAGGUGGUGAGGUAAAGGCUCACCAAGGCGAGGAUCCGUAGCGGGUGUGAGAGGAUGAUCGGCCACACUGGGACUGAGCCACGGACCAGAGUCCUGCGGUAGGGCGCAGUGGGCAAUUUUGGACAAUGGGGGCAAACAUGGUCCAACCAUGCCGCGUGUAUGAAGACGGCCUUAGGGUUGUAAAGUACUUUUGUUAGGGAAGAAAAGUUAGCUGUGAAUAAGGACCGAUACUGACGGUACCUAAAGAAUAAGCACCGGCUAACUACGUG
rnacentral:rRNA from 1 species